rnacentral:misc_RNA from 1 species
CCUGUUCGAGCGUCAUUAUAACCCUCAAGCUUAGCUUGGUGUUGGGGCCUGCCAACUGGCAGCCCUUAAAAUCAGUGGCGGUGCAUCUGGCUCUAAGCGUAGUAAUUCUUCUCGCUACAGGGUCCUGGUGGAUGCUUGCCAACAACCCCCAACUUUCUAAGUUUGACCUCGGAUCAGGUAGGGAUACCCGCUGAACUUAA